GCUUCGUAGAGACCUUGCGAUAGAAUCGGCGGAGACGGGGGUCACCGAUUUGACGGCACUGCCCGCGAUCACGGACAUUGUCGAAGGUCACAGAGACAGCGUCUAUGAUCUCAGAGACAUCGUCCACGAUCAGAAAGACAUAGUCCAUGAUCACAGAGACAUUGUCCAUAAUCUCAGAAACAUUGUCCGCGAUCACAGAGACGUAGUCCACGAUCACACAGUCUUCGUACAAUGAAGAAGUUCUUUGAGACCAAGACAGAGGCCUCCAGGUGUCACCACUUUGUCCACAACAUUGUCCAUGGCAUCGUCCACGAUCGGAGAGACAUGGUCCGUGAACGGAGAGACAUUGUUGAGGAUGAGGGAGACAUCGUCCAUGAUCAGAGACCUUGUCCACGAUCGCAGAGACCUUGUCAAAGAUGAGAGAGACGUUGUCCAUGAUCAGAGACAUUGUCCAUGCUUCGUAGAGACCUUGCGAUAGAAUCGGCAGAGACGGGGGUCACCGAUUUGACGGCACUGCCCGCGAUCACGGACAUUGUCGAAGGUCACAGAGACAGCGUCUAUGAUCUCAGAGACAUCGUCCACGAUCAGAAAGACAUAGUCCAUGAUCACAGAGACAUUGUCCAUAAUCUCAGAAACAUUGUCCGCGAUCACAGAGACGUAGUCCACGAUCACACAGUCUUCGUACAAUGAAGAAGUUCUUUGAGACCAAGACAGAGGCCUCCAGGUGUCACCACUUUGUCCACAACAUUGUCCAUGGCAUCGUCCACGAUCGGAGAGACAUGGUCCAUGAACGGAGAGACAUUGUUGAGGAUGAGGGAGACAUCGUCCAUGAUCAGAGACCUUGUCCACGAUCGCAGAGACCUUGUCAAAGAUGAGAGAGACGUUGUCCAUGAUCAGAGACAUUGUCCAUGCUUCGUAGAGACCUUGCGAUAGAAUCGGCGGAGACGGGGGUCACCGAUUUGACGGCACUGCCCGCGAUCACGGACAUUGUCGAAGGUCACAGAGACAGCGUCUAUGAUCUCAGAGACAUCGUCCACGAUCAGAAAGACAUAGUCCAUGAUCACAGAGACAUUGUCCAUAAUCUCAGAAACAUUGUCCGCGAUCACAGAGACGUAGUCCACGAUCACACAGUCUUCGUACAAUGAAGAAGUUCUUUGAGACCAAGACAGAGGCCUCCAGGUGUCACCACUUUGUCCACAACAUUGUCCAUGGCAUCGUCCACGAUCGGAGAGACAUGGUCCAUGAACGGAGAGACAUUGUUGAGGAUGAGGGAGACAUCGUCCAUGAUCAGAGACCUUGUCCACGAUCGCAGAGACCUUGUCAAAGAUGAGAGAGACGUUGUCCAUGAUCAGAGACAUUGUCCAUGCUUCGUAGAGACCUUGCGAUAGAAUCGGCGGAGACGGGGGUCACCGAUUCGACGGCACUGCCCGCGAUCACGGACAUUGUCGAAGGUCACAGAGACAGCGUCUAUGAUCUCAGAGACAUCGUCCACGAUCAGAAAGACAUAGUCCAUGAUCACAGAGACAUUGUCCAUAAUCUCAGAAACAUUGUCCGCGAUCACAGAGACGUAGUCCACGAUCACACAGUCUUCGUACAAUGAAGAAGUUCUUUGAGACCAAGACAGAGGCCUCCAGGUGUCACCACUUUGUCCACAACAUUGUCCAUGGCAUCGUCCACGAUCGCAGAGACAUGGUCCGUGAACGGAGAGACAUUGUUGAGGAUGAGGGAGACAUCGUCCAUGAUCAGAGACCAUGUCCACGAUCGCAGAGACAUGGUCCGUGAACGGAGAGACAUUGUUGAGGAUGAGGGAGACAUCGUCCAUGAUCAGAGACCUUGUCCACGAUCGCAGAGACCUUGUCAAAGAUGAGAGAGACGUUGUCCAUGAUCAGAGACAUUGUCCAUGCUUCGUAGAGACCUUGCGAUAGAAUCGGCGGAGACGGGGGUCACCGAUUUGACGGCACUGCCCGCGAUCACGGACAUUGUCGAAGGUCACAGAGACAGCGUCUAUGAUCUCAGAGACAUCGUCCACGAUCAGAAAGACAUAGUCCAUGAUCACAGAGACAUUGUCCAUAAUCUCAGAAACAUUGUCCGCGAUCACAGAGACGUAGUCCACGAUCACACAGUCUUCGUACAAUGAAGAAGUUCUUUGAGACCAAGACAGAGGCCUCCAGGAGGAGAAGACGACAGCAGCUGAAGACCUGAAGUGGAUGAAAGAAAACAAAAGUGUUAUGAAGCUGUUAAUUAGAUGAAAGACCUCCACCAUCUAAUUGCUUUAAACAGUUGUUCAAGUGAAAACACUUUGUUUUUCUCUACCAUCUAUAAUGUAGUCAUGGGCACAUUUUCCAAAGACCUUAUUAAACACCUUGGAGAACAUUAAACGGCUUAUGACAAAACUAUUUAAUAACUGUAUCACAAGCAGUUAAAUGAUCACAAAGAUGCUUCGUAGACAUCUUCAUCUUUGGAAAAUGUGCUCAUAACUACAUUAACCUUAACUCUAACCAUCUCCAGCAAGUGUUUCCUUGUGGUCAAAUGUCUGCCAUUAUCUAGCUGUGAUUUGUUAAAUGUUGUCUGGAAUAGUCUCUUUAUAAACUUUUGAGUUGCAUUACUCUAUUUUGUAACUGAAGUUAUACAAAUCAUUUUACUGCAUUUUAUUUUAAGAAAAAAUGUUAUGAUUGUCAUGUUUUAAUUUUUAGACCUGUUUUUAUAUUUAUGGUUUUAUACUUUUAAAAUGUUUAACACUCAUUUCAAAAUCAUGAAAAAAUGAGGAGCUGAAACCACGCCCACUCGGUACAGAGACUGUUAGCAUGCUAUUCCGUAAAUGUUUUAGCCACCGGAGCUUUUUUGUUUUUGUUGAUCAAAUGGCCUGUCUUCGAGGACUAAAUACCAGUAAUAU